rnacentral:rRNA from 1 species
AUUGAACGCUGGCGGCGUGCUUAACACAUGCAAGUCGUGCGAGAAAGGAGACUUCGGUCUCUGAGUAGAGCGGCACACGGGUGAGUAACGCGUGGAUGAUCUCCCCCCGGGUUCGGGAUAACGGUGCGAAAGUGCCGCUAAUACCGAAUAACAAUCCAUUUCAUCGUGGGUUCAAAGCAGGCCUCUCCGUGGAAGCUUGCGCCUGGGGAUGAGUCCGCGUCCCAUUAGCUUGUUGGCGGGGUAAUGGCCCACCAAGGCAACGAUGGGUAGCUGGUCUGAGAGGAUGAUCAGCCACACUGGAACUGAAACACGGUCCAGACUCCUACGGGAGGCAGCAGUGGGGAAUAUUGCGCAAUGGGGGAAACCCUGACGCAGCGACGCCGUGUGAGGGAAGAAGGCCUUCGGGUCGUAAACCUCUGUCAGAAGGGAAGAACCGCCGAGGGGUGAAUAAAACCUCGGCCUGACGGUACCUUCAGAGGAAGCGCCGGCUAACUCCGUGCCAGCAGCCGCGGUAAUACGGAGGGCGCAAGCGUUAAUCGGAAUUACUGGGCGUAAAGCGUGCGUAGGCUGUUUGGUAAGUCAGGCGUGAAAGCCCUCGGCUCAACCGAGGAACUGCGCUUGAUACUGCCGGACUCGAGUCCCGGAGAGGGUGGCGGAAUUCCAGGUGUAGGAGUGAAAUCCGUAGAUAUCUGGAGGAACACCGGUGGCGAAGGCGGCCACCUGGACGGGUACUGACGCUGAGGCACGAAAGCGUGGGGAGCAAACAGGAUUAGAUACCCUGGUAGUCCACGCGGUAAACGAUGGAUGCUAGGUGUCGGGGAGCGAUCUUCGGCGCCGCAGCUAACGCAUUAAGCAUCCCGCCUGGGGAGUACGGUCGCAAGGCUGA